GGGUCCGGGUUCCAGGUGGAGAGAGAGCUGUUGUACUGGGUGGUGUCGCGUAUCGCCGUACCUCGUGUGAGAUGAAUGGUGUCUCAGAACCAUAGCCCACACCUGUGUUGAUUAGAAUUGAGAGUUUACAUCCUGGUCUCCGGGAUUCUUCUUAGUAACUCCUCUGUCCACACUCCAGGUCCACUUCAGCACCAAAAUGCAUAUACACUGUCAUCUUCGUGCUCUAUCUCGGACCACAGAGACUGAGCGCCUGCUAGUCUAACAUAGUUUCAGAAAAAACCCUGCUUUCAGAGGAACUUCAAAUUAUAUUUGUCUGUGUGUGAUCCAAGAGCCAAAGACAGAUUAAAUGAUUCCAGUGGACAUACUGCUCUGAUUAUGAGCUACAUCCAACCCCUGGCAGCAUGCAUCAUUGCCUUGGAAAAUAUGUCACAGCAAUUAUAUCCUUAUUCCUCUUGAGCUUCUUCCUCCGUGAGAAAAUCCAAAAUGCUGAAUAUAAACUUCUGUUGAAGGAAAAGGAGGACAUAGCUUGGAAAUAGCUGUCAAACAAAUCAACUCUGAAAGCAAGAACCAUCUGUGAACCUUCAAGGAGAUGCAGAGAGACUCCCAUCUUCUCCAGCAGGCUAGCUACCAAUCCCUGGCUGGAGCCUGUCCCCAGGAAAAGAGACUGCUGACCGUGGGGAUUGCCUCAAUGCAGCAUCCUCGUGGGAGCUACCUCUUGGACAACCUGCAGUCCAUGUUCCAAGCUUCCUCAUAACGUGAGCUGGAGUAUAUCGUGGUGCUGGUCCACCUGUCAGGUCCUGACCCUGAAUGGCUUGGCCAAACAGCUGCCACUAUUUCAGGUCUCUUCACACCACAGAUUAGGGCCGGGAAGCUGCUGGUGAUCAAUCAUAGCUCCCCUCUCCCAGGAGAUCUGAGUGACGUUAAUCACUCAUCACUCUGUGAAGCCCUCUAUUCCAGACAGAAAGUAGAUCAUGCCCUCCUCAUGAACUUUGCUAGCAACCUCUCUGAUUACUUUCUUUUGUUGGAAGAUCAUAUUCAUUGCACCCCCAAAUUCGCUGCUGCCAUCUCUUCGGCCUUAUCAGCCUGGAAAGAACUACCUUGGGUGAUCCUGGAGUUCUCCCACCUGAGCAUCUCUGGGAAAGUUUUCUGCACCAGUGACUUCUCCCGCCUGAACACUUUUUUCCUCCUCUUCCAUAAGGACACUCCUACUCACUUGCUUCUCUCUGAAUUUCGUCUUCUCUUGGCCCAGAAUAUUCCUAUUCAUUUCAGUCCCUCUGUCUUCCACCACACAGGCAAUUAUUCUGUGUUUGAUGACAUGUGCUUUUCUGUGGAGAAGGACAGGGUCUUUGGUGAACCAGACAACCCUGUUGCAACUGUCCUUACUGACAUGGUAUCAAUGUUGGCUGUGAUUCUACAAUACACUUAUACACUGAACAAGGAGGGCUACUCUACCUUAAAUCCUUUAAAAGGAAACUACUUGACAGUGAUUCUGGACAGGCCACAAAAAAACACCCAGAUAGCAGUCGGGAGGUACCGACUGCAGCAGGGGCAAGUGGAACCGGGCUAUGACCCCCAGGAGGAUCCCAAAAGCUGUGCUCGCUAUGCCCUGCUAGGGCCACUGGUGGGAGGAAAUUUGGACCAGGUAGUAUUUUCUGAAGAAGAGUCUGUGGAACAGUUGAAUUGUAUCCGGCUGCUGGUGUUGGCAUCUCAAGAGUCUUGACUCCUGAUCAAGCAGAUCAAAGUCUGGACUGAGCCUGAGGAAGAGGAGAGAUAGAGGGCACAAUGGGGAUUCUGGAAGAAUUGGGUCUGAGAAUGGAAUCUACAUGGUUGGGAAGAAAUAAACUCAGGCACCGAUCAAAAGCUACUCAUUUUA